rnacentral:rRNA from 1 species
CGGACGGGUGAGUAACACGUGGGCAACCUGCCUUGUAGAGGGGAAUAGCCUUCCGAAAGGAAGAUUAAUACCGCAUAACAUUACACUUUCGCAUGAAGAAGUAAUUAAAGGAGCAAUCCGCUACAAGAUGGGCCCGCGGCGCAUUAGCUAGUUGGUGAGGUAACGGCUCACCAAGGCGACGAUGCGUAGCCGACCUGAGAGGGUGAUCGGCCACAUUGGGACUGAGACACGGCCCAGACUCCUACGGGAGGCAGCAUG